UCCCACUCCUCCGCUGACGGCCGGGUCAGGGAAAUCCGAAUCAGGCUUGCCUCUGCAGCUCUGCCCAAAGUCCUAGCAAAGUCCUCAGAGCAGGCAGGAGACCAGAAAUCCCCACUUGACACUCUUGUUCUGUGACCAUUCGAAGCUACAAUGCUGCUGUAUGAGGAGACUUAUGACCGUUCCUCAAAGUUGUGGCCAUUGCAGCGUCUCCAUGGACCAUACAGUCCUGAUGCAGGUGCCUGGCAACCAACUUCCAAUUAUGACAGACACAGCAUCUUGCAGUCAUAUAAUUAUUAUAUUAUUAUGGCGCAGUGGUUAGAAUGCAGUACUGCAGGCUACUUCUGCUGCCUGCCGGCUGCCUGCAAUUUAGCAGAAUCUCAUCUGGCUCAAGGCUGACUCAGCCUUUCAUCCAGUGGUGGGAUUCAAGUAAUUUAACAGCAGGUUCUCUGCCCUAAUGAUUUCUUCUAACAACCGGUUUGCCAAACUGCUCAGAAAGUUAACAACCGGUUCUCCCGAAGUGGUGCGAACUGGCUGAAUCCCACCACUGCUUCCAUCCUUCCGAGGUCGAUAAAAUAAGGACCCAGAUUGUUGGGGGCAAUAUGAUGAAUCUGUAAACCGCUUAGAGUGGGAGGGCUGAAGCGCACCGUGAAGACUUAUAUAAGUCUAAGUGCUAUUGCUAUUAUCAUUCCUAUUCAUUAUUGCAUACCUUUAGUGCCCGCAAAGUCAAUGGGGAAGCUAGCAGGAAGUCACAAAUGGCAAUCACAUAAUCAUAAGAUGCUGCAGCCAUGCUGGAUUCGCUGUAACAAUGGCAACUGAGAUUACUGGAGCUGCCGUCAUAAGUCAGCCCGGAAUGUGACAUUGUGCCUUAUGACUCUCUUAGCAACAGAAUUGCCAGUCUCAAUUACCAUCGUUAAGUGAGGAGUACCUGUAAUUAUUCUAUUAGAAAAGUUGGGGGGAGGGGUUGUAUCCAUAGAAAGUGAACCCCACUGAUGGCAUUAAUGUUUAUUUCCAGUUAAAUGCAUGUAGGAGUACAAUAUAUCCUAAGAUUGUUCUUUAAUUUUAAUUAAGUUUCUUCUAAGUAAGAUAAAAUUGGAAUUCAGCAUCAAAUUUAUUCCAGUCAUAUAUAUAAUUUUCUAUGCUAACCUUUUAAAGUUUUAUUCUAUGUUUAGCUCUCAUUUUUUCCCAAUGAUUUGGUUUCUUUUUCUUUUUCUUUUUUUAAAGAUCGCUGAAUUGUUUUUACGUCAAACACUGUUUUGUUUUGUGUUGUUGGUUUAAAAAAGGUUUUUAAAAAAACUUUUACUCAUUUCUGGCUUUCGUAUUCAAAGAAAUGCUGGAGUUUCUUAUGAUGGAGAUCAAAAUCAAGUUAUCAGGAAAUUCAACAGCAGAUAGUGAUUGCACGUAGCCAACAGACGUACUGUUUAGAUAAAUUUCUGAGCUGCCAGGUAGAUUUAAAACUAUGCAAAUAAACAGAGCGUGAAACAUUUUGGGGUCUGUCUUUAAACUUUCCGUAACACGAUUGUGUUUUUAUUAUGUAACUGGGAAGAUCUUAAGAUUGGCAGCAUUGUAGACACAAUAGACACAAGAACAGUUUUUUCCCGAAGGCCAUCACUCUGCUAAACAAAUAAUUCCCUCAACACUGUCAGACUAUUUACUGAAUCUGCACUACUAUUAAUCGUCUCAUAGUUCCCAUCACCAAUCUCUUUCCACUUAUGACUGUAUGACUAUAACUUGUUGCUGGCAAUCCUUAUGAUUUAUAUUGAUAUAUUGAUCAUCAAUUGUGUUGUAAAUGUUGUACCUUGAUGAACGUAUCUUUUCUUUUAUGUACACUGAGAGCAUAUGCACCAAGACAAAUUCCUUGUGUGUCCAAUCACACUUGGCCAAUAAAAUUCUAUUCUAUUCUAUUGUUCCUGCAAGAUGCUAUUCCGGUUUUGAUUGUUGUUUCAGCUGGUCAGAAGGACAUGUUCACACAGUUUCUCCUAGCAAAGCCCCUGCUGUGCUUCUGGCUCUAAUCAGGAACAUCCCAAGAAGACAGUUAGGAGCUGAAAAGCAUUUUUGAACCAAUCAGAUUAGUCUGUGAUCUAAUUAAAACCAGGAAAUGAGAUUAUUACGGCAGGCUACUUCUGCUGAUCACCGGUCAGCAGUUUGGCAGAUCGAAUCACACCAGGCUCAAGUUUGACUCAGCCUGCCAUCCUUCCGAGGUGGAUAAAAUGAGGACCUAGAUGGUUGGGGGCAAUAGGCUGGCUCUAUAAACCUAUUAGAGAGGGCUGUAAAAGCACUGUAUAAGUCUACGUGCUGUUGCUAUCAUGCAAAAAACAACAACCCUCCACUGAAAUCCAAGCUCAUAAUCCACAGCCUUGCCUCAUUAAAAUGUAUUUAUCUACUAAUAAUUCUCGAAUUACAAACAUUUGUUUAGUGACUGUUUGAAGUUACAACAGUACUUUAAAAAAAGUGACAGAAUAGAAUUCUUUAUUGGCCAAGUGUGAUUGGAAUUUGUCUUUGGUGCAUAUGCUCUCAAUGUACAUAAAAAGACAAGAUACAUUCGUCAAGAAUCAUAAAGUACAACACUUAGUGAUAAUCAUGGGGUACAAAUAAGCAAUCAAAUCAUACUAGGAAACAAUCAAAAUAAAUAGUAAGGAUACCAGCAACAAGGUUACAGUCAUGCAGUCAUAAGUGAGAGGAGAUGGGUGAUGGGAACGAUGAGAAGAUUAAUAGUAAUGCAGACUUAGUGAAUAGUUUGACAGUGUUGAGGGAAUUAUUUGUUUAGCAGAGUGAUGGCAUUCGGGAAAAAACUGUUCUUGUGUCUAGUUGUUCUGGUGUGCAGUGCUCUACACAGCAUUGUUUUGAGGGUGGAGUUGAAACAAUUUAUGUCCAGGAUGUGAGGGGUCUGUAAAUAUUUCCACGGCCCUCUUUUUGACUCGUGCAGUAUACAGGUCCUCAAUGGAAGGCAAGUUGGUAGCCAUUGUUUUUUCUGCAGUUCUAAUUAUCCUCUGAAGUCCAUGUCUGUCUUGUUGGGUUGCAGAACCAAACCAGGCAGUUAUAGAGGUGCUGAUGACAGACUCAAGAAUUCCUCUGUAGAACUGAAUCAGCAGCUCCUUGGGCAGUUUGAGCUUACUGAGUUGGCGCAGAAAGAACUUGUUGAGUUGGUGCAGGAAGAAAGGCUUAUGACUGUUGCAUCACAAUGGCCACAUAAUCAAAAUUUGAACUCUUGGCAAUUGGCAUGUGCUUAUGAUGGUUGCAGGGUCCUGGGGUCAUGGGAUCACCUUUUGUGACCUUCUGACAGGCAAAUUAUUAUUUAUUUAUUUAUUUAUUUAUUUAUUUUAUCACAUUUAUAUACCGCCCUAUCUCCCUAGGGACUCAGGGCGGUUCACAGGCAAGUAAAAAAGUACAUAUAAAUACAAACUAAAAUAACAGUUAAAAAACUUAUUCUACAUGGCCGAAUUAUUAAAAAGCAAUAUAAAUAAUAAAACCCAUUAAAACCAGUAUAAAUUUAAAAUCUAAUCCAGUCCUGCGCAGAUGAAUAAAUGUGUUUUAAGCUCGCGACGGAAGGUUCGGAGGUCCGGAAGUUGACGAAGUCCUGGGGGGAGUUCGUUCCAGAGGGUGGGAGCCCCCACAGAGAAGGCCCUUCCCCUGGGUGUCGCCAGACGGCACUGCCUAGCUGACGGCACCCUGAGGAGUCCCUCUCUGUGAGAGCGCACGGGUUGGUGAGAGGUAUUCGGUAGCAGUAGGCGGUCCCGUAAGUAGCCCGGCCCUAUGCCAUGGAGCGCUUUAAAGAUGGUUACCAAAACCUUGAAGCGCACCCGGAAGGCCACAGGUAGCCAGUGCAGUCUGCGCAGGAUAGGUGUCACACGGGAGCCACGAGGGGCUCCCUCUAUCACCCGCGCAGCUGCAUUCUGAACUAACUGAAGCCUCCGGAUGCCCCUCAAGGGGAGCCCCAUGUAGAGAGCAUUGCAGUAAUCCAGACGAGACGUCACGAGGGCGUGAGUGACCGUGCAUAAGGCAUCCCGGUCUAGAAAGGGGCGCAACUGGCGCACCAGGCGAACCUGGUAGAAAGCUCUCCUGGAGACGGCCGUCAAAUGAUCUUCUAAAGACAGCCGUUCAUCCAGGAGGACGCCCAAGUUGCGCACCCUCUCCAUCGGGGCCAAUGACUCGCCCCCAACAGUCAGCCGUGGACUCAGCUGACUGUACCGGGAUGCCGGCAUCCACAGCCACUCUGUCUUGGAGGGAUUGAGCUUGAGCCUGUUUCUCCCAUCCAGACCCAUACGGCUUCCAAACACCGGGACAGCACUUCGAUAGCUUCAUUGGGGUGGCCCGGUGUGGAAAAGUACAGCUGGGUGUCAAUGGGAAAACCGGAUCCACUUAACAACCAUGUUAUUAACUUGACAACUGUGGCAAGAAAGGUCAUAAGAUAGGACAAAGUUCACUUUUUUUAAAUUUACAUUUAUAUCCCACCCUUCUCCGAAGACUCAGGGCGGCUUACAUUAUGUCAAGCAAUAGUCUUCAUCCAUUUUAUAUUAUAUACAAAGUCAACUUAUUGCCCCCAACAAUCUGGCUCCUCAUUUUACCUACCUUAUAAAGGAUGGAAGGCUGAGUCAACCUUGGGCCUGGUGGGACUUGAACCUGCAGUAAUUGCAAGCAGCUGCUGUUAAUAACAGACUGUCUUACCAGUCUGAGCCACAGAGGCCCUUAACACUCUUGUCUGGCGGCAGAAAUUUGGAGCUCAGUUGUGGUUGAAUGUUGAGGUAUGUAUGAAUGUAUGUAUGUAGAUUCUGGAUGAAGACAUGAUUGGAGCCAGACCAAAGCUUAAAUCUUAUUUAACAUUUUAUUUUAUUCAUUUAUUAUUCACACUUUUAUACCGCCCUAUCUCCCUAGGGACUCAGGGCGGUUUCCAGCCAUAUAAAAAACAUAUAUAUAUAUACAGAGUAAAACAUUAAUUUAAAAAACUUAUUACAUAGGCCGAAUAUUUAAAAUAGAGAUAUAAAUAAUAAAACCCCAUUUAAAACCAGAUUUAAAAUUUAAACAUUUAAAAAUUUAAAAUUCUAGUCCAGUCCUGCGCAGAUAAAUAGAUGUGUCUUAAGCUCGCAGCGGAAGGUUAACAUAAUUUAAAUGUGGGCAUUAUUAAUUAUCAAUUUAACGGAACGGUCUCCAACUGAUUAGUCUCCAUGGAUGGAAUAAUAUUGACCCUCCCUCACAUUGUGAAGUACAUUCAGCAAAACUGGGUGAGACACUGGAGGCAACAUGCCAGGCCAGGCCAUUCUACGGGUCAGGCUCUUUAGCAGCAGCUGCCAAGCAAACUGGAAUUCUUUACCAGCACAAAAUCUUCUUUCACAAGAUUUAUUGCAAUGAAAAGGAUGGAGCUACAAGAAUUUCGGCAGCUGACUAUUUCACACUGGGAAUCAAUUUAUUUCGCAAUAAAAAUAUUCCAGGAAUAUCAAUAAAGGGUAAUUUGACAUGAGACUGACCGUCUUUGGAAGAUGGUCAAAGGCAUCGUCAGACUCCAAACUGUUUAAAGAUCAAGGACCACGAAAAGGUAGCAUGGUAAAUAGAACACCUUUUACCCGGUCAGAUACACCUCAGCCUCUGCUGGAUAAAUGGUGUUUCCUUUCAAAAUCCUAAUAAUAGUUUUUACAUAUAUUCUGAUAUCUGUAAAUGAAUAGGUACUUGUUGGAAGAAAUAUCCUUCUGGGUUCAGUUCCAAGUGGGGAGAAAGACACUGGAAACACAGAGGAUGCUUGGAAAGAUGGUUUUAAUCAGUGGUGAAAUCCAAUUUUUUUUUACUACCGGUUUUGUGGGCGUGGGUUGGUGGGUGUGGUGUGGUGUGGCUUGGUGGGUGUGGCAAGGGAAGGAUACUGCAAAAUCUCCAUUCCCACCCCACUCCUGGGCGAAGGAUUUUGCAAAAUCCCCAUUCCCUCCCCACUCCUGGGCGAAGGAUACUACAAAAUCUCCAUUCCCACCCCACUCCUGGGCAAAGGAUUCUGCAAAAUCCCCAUUCCCUCCCCACUCCUGGGUGAAGGAUAUUGCAAAAUCUGCAUUCCCACCCCACUCUGGGGCCAGCCAGAGAUGGCAUUUGCCGGUUCUCCCAACUACUCAAAAUUUCUGCUACCAGUUCUCCAGAACCUGUCAGAACCUGCUGGAUUUCACCCCUGGUUUUAAUGGUGGACUGCGGCAGUCUCUCAUGAAUCAAGAGUCAAACACAUGGUUUUCCUCGGGAUGAGAGUGCCCAGAACAGAGUUUGGGUCUCUCUUUUAUUGGGAUUCUUAUCAGAAGGCAUUUACAUCAAAGACAAUGACUUGCAUACAUCAAAGACAAAAACUUGCAUAUCAAUCACAUAGCAACAUAGAAAUACAUCCUGAGACAUCAAAGACUUAUAUAGCAAUCAUGUAGCAAAUAUAGCAAUACAUCCUGUGACAUCCUGACCCUACAUGCUAAUUGAUCUCACAUUAAUUGUGUGUAGAAGGAACUUUGUAAGAGGAAUCUUAUCAAAGGAAAAGGGAUGUCCUGUGGUUAAUUACAAAACUUUUGAUGCAUUUCACACCAUCGUUAGAGGUAAACAUCCUGCAGCUUUGAUGUGAUUUACACAAGUUUCUGCCUAUGUGAUUCAAUUAGCCGAGGUUUCCCAUGCUAAUCUGCACGUAAGCAAUCUCUCAAAGGAGUCCAUAUGGCUAAAUUGCAACAGUGGACAGGAUCACAUGCCUUGAAGAUCUUGGGUGAAGAAAAAAAAAAAGGUAGAGAUGCUGAGAGUGCCUGGGUUUUAUGCCCUCUCUGGGCUUUUUGAAUUUGAGCUUGUAUUCUGAUUGGUUGCCAGACUCCCAUGGGGCCAUGCAGGGGCAACUCUGUAGGCUGUAUUUUUGAGUCCCAAGCUUGGUUGAGCCUUGUUGGGUGAUGUAAUCUUCCCAGGUGCCAUGUGGUGAGAUGGGUGAGAGGGUUAAUCCUACCUUUCUUGGAUCUUGGGUGAGGGCUAUGAAUAGACCUUUAUCUCUUAAGUGUGGACAUCUGCUGUGGGCUAUUGAAGAUGGUGGGGGCUAUUAAAAGUAAGUCUGUUUCCUGCCUAAAAAUAUGUUUCUCAAUUUCUCAUCCAAGGAAAUAUAAUAUUCUGCCUUUUUAAUAUUUCCUAGAAUAUUUCAUUUUGCUAGGAGAGGCUGGGUGCUAACUCCCUACAUACUAUUUUAACAGUCCGAUAGUCUCUUUUGUCCUUGUGUUUGGUGAUACAUUUUUGACCUUAAGAGUGAUGUUUUACUAAGUGGGAGCAAUUAAUGAAUGGAAAAGCUUGCCUCCUUGAGUUUUGGGGUGCUCCACUACUGGAGAUUUUCAAGAAAAGAUUGGAUUUUCAUUUGCCUGGGACUACUGUCUUGGGCAGGGGCUUAGACUAGAACAGGGGUCUCCAACUUUGGCAACUUUA